AACUCGGCCUCAAACCAUCUACCGCCUUGGCCUCUCAAAGUGCUGGGAUUACAGGCAUGAACCACUGCACCUGGUCAGCCUCUUAUUUCUUUAAUUCCCUCUCCCAACAAAAACACAGAGCUAACUACAGUUGAUACAUAUUGAAUGACUGUUGAACGACCUACCUAGAUGCUCAGCUAAAAAACUGGGACUGUUGGCUCCUCCAUCUUCCUCACAUCCCACAUCCAAUAAAAGCCUCCUUCCUCUAA